CGGUCGGCCGCUGGCCGGGCCCCUUGUCCCCUGCACAUGCGCAACGGCCGGCUGUUGUGUGUAGUUCCUUGGGAGCGAUAUGGCAUUCACACUGUUGAGCGGGCAAUGAGAAUCGUUCCCCUGUGGCGGGAUCGCCAUGAAGCCAAUGCCUUUGAGGAGCUACAGCAACUCGAGUGCUGCGGUUGCUGGAAUUAAUGCUGGGAACACUCAGCAGGCCUGGAGGACAUGAAAAAGGAAUUGUUCAGCUUCCAAGACUGACCCAACCAACGGCAACUAACACUACAAAUCAAACAUUAUUGUAGUCUGUAUGGUUAAGUCACUCAAGUAUAUAAAUAAUUUGCUAACUAAAAAGGUAGGGAUCAAAAUAUGCUUUAACUGUCAUCUGAUAUUGGACAACUUGCCAAAUUAUUGAGAAGAUUCAGGAAAUCAAGUUCCAAUCAUUUAUUUCAUAUGUCGGUAUAGAGAAUCAGCCAUGACUCUGUGACAUGUAUAAUCUCAAUCUGGUGGGUUACAAAACAUCAUUGAGUUUUUUUUUACAGAUUAAGUGCACAUAUUACAAUUUCUGAACUUUACUGUGCAGGUGACUCACAUCAUCUUUUGUUUUCCCACAGUCUUUCAUUGCAUUGUCUGCAUUUCACCCGAGGCUGGCUCUACUUUGCUGAUAAUGCAACCUCUGUCAAUUUAAUUUUAAUACUUGGUUUUAUUUCAGAUUAGUUUAUUAUUUGUGACACUAUAAUGUGUUAUACUUCUAGCAUCCUUUCUGUUUAGCAUGGCUUUAUAUGUCUGUGGAUCCCAUAACUUUUACAAUAUGACUCAAGAUUUAACCCUUAACUAAUGGAAAAGAAUUCCACCAAUUCACACCCAAAGUACAAAAUAUUUCAUUGUCCUCUUCUAUUGUGAUGGUAUGAAAUCGAAGAGAUUGCUACUUAUAAAAGGAUAAAAACUGUUGCUUAUAGUUCAAACUGUAUACUGACCAUGAACUUGAAUUAAUCAGAUAUUUGUGCAACAGUACUGCAUAGAAAAACUUUGAUUGCACAGUCUGGAAGAAAAUGCAUUUUUAACAAGCUGAAGUAGCAGAACAUAUUUUACUUCAGAAAUUGUAACUUAAUGGUAAAUACAAUUGACAUCUGUGCAGGUUCAGUAAAAUCAUCAAUGCAGACUUUACCGGCACAGUAAACAACCCAACGUCUCAACUAAGCUUAAGUUACUUUAAUUAGUUCAAUUAAUUUAAUGCAAGAUGAAAAUGAGGCCAACAUUGGCAACAAAAAUACAUUGACAAAAUGCUUGAUUUUGGUUGGAAAUUUAAAAUAAAGAAACUAACUCUUUUUCAUGAUGCUUUUAUUUUUUAAGGUUAUUUACAGCCAUAGGAGAAAUUUGUAUUUUCUUGAAGAUGACAGGCAAUUAUUUUGUCAUUGCUGGACUAAGUGUUUUUUUUCACUCCACAAGAGCUCAUGAUACAACCUGCUCUGCAUUUUCUCAUAGUAACAGUUGUCAAGGCAAUCAGAGCAAAGCUCUUUUCAGCUUUGUCAAGGGUCUCAAGGUUUCAUGUUCAACAAUACAAAAGAUCUCUAUUAUGUUUUCAGAUUCAUAGUGACAUCUGAAUUAUUUGAAUGAUAACACAGUAUUUUUUUUAAAUACAUUAUAGUGUCACAAAUAAUAGUCGAAUCUGAAAUAAAACCAAAAUAAGCACUAAAGUUCAUCUGUAGAGGUUGAAUGAUUGAUGCUUAUAAUGUAAAGAGUUCAGUGUGGAGGAUUUCAAUAUUGACUCCAUUUAAUGCGUUCAGUUAAAGUCUGCAAAUUGUAGCCUGUCUAGUGUGAGAUAUUUCACGUAUUCUCGAAAGAAAGAUAAUAUUUUGGAAUGUAUAAUCUUUCUACAUAUUCCACUACCAUGCUGUUGAGGUGAUCCCUGACCUACAUGAAAUGAAUACUGAUAUCAGGCAUGGAUAGCCCAUAAUUAUCUGUACAGAGUUAUUCAGCAUAGAUGGCUAGUAGGAUGUGAUUCUGCUUUGCCAGAAUAAAAACGGAAAAGUUAUGUUUAAAAA